AGUCUUAGGGGCUUUGGAGGCUUGAGUUAUUCCUAGGAGUCGUGAAUGGCUACAGAGAACGGGAUGAUGGCUCAGAGCCAGCUUUUCGGCGGUUACCCUUGUUUAUAACAGGAAAUGCUCCUUUCCUGGGGGUCUCACUGAUGGGGAACUCACUUUACGGAACAGACUGACCUCGAACUCCUGUUUGUGCCUCCUAAGCACCGACAUUAAAGCCCGUGGCCCUAACAUGCCAGCAGCCUAGCAAUUCUGAAAACGCAACGAUCAUGCUUAUCUCAAGACAGAUCUCCUAAAAUGGCAGUGGAGAUAUUCUUUGAGAAGAGCCCAGGUGGAAAGGGAAAUCACUGCUAGGGACGCACUGUCCUCACAGUGGAAGGAAAGAGCAAGCGAAGACCAGAAAGUGCCGAAGAGGCUUCCCCGGUGACACGUCAGCCAUGUCUACUCCCACUCACUGGCCAAGGCCCUUCUGGCCGAAAGCAACUGGUUAGAGGGACCAGUACCUUCCCCACAGAGGGUACAGCAGAGUACAGAUCAUGGAAAGUGCCCUUCCCACAGAAAGUACAGCAUGGGAAAAAUCAAAUUCCUGUGUCUCUGACUCCACCCAUGCGCUCUGUCCCAGUAUUGACUGGGAAGGAACCUGACAUUGAUUUUGGUUUUCUUAGAAUUCGUGUAAUACUCUGGGCAACAGUUAGCAAAUUCUUAUUCAUACGUCACCCUCCAGAUGAUAACAGUAGUUGCAUAGUUAAAAAUAAUUCUACAGUUGAGUUAUUUUGGCAAAGAAUGGGUAUGAACAAUGUCCCCAAAUAUUCAUAAUUUCUGCUGCCAUAUUAAAUGUUCUGAAAACCACUACUGCAAACAGCUAUCUAAGCCAGAAUUGGCAUCACAGAAUCAGGUGUGUGUGUGUGUGUGUGUGU